GCAAAGCUGGUUAAAAUGUGACACUGAAUUUUUAUGAAAGGCACAGAAA
rnacentral:lncRNA from 1 species